rnacentral:tRNA from 1 species
CACAUAAUAGCUUAAUACAAAGCAUUAAACUUUUAAUUUAGGGAUAAGUAAAACUUUUGUGUGA